rnacentral:rRNA from 1 species
CGCGUGGGAAUCUACCCAACGGUGGGGGAUAGCCCGGGGAAACUCGGAUUAAUACCGCAUAACAUCUACGGAUCAAAGGUGGCCUCUCCUUGGAAGCUAUUGCCGAUGGAUGAGCCCGCGUUAGAUUAGCUAGUUGGUGAGGUAAAGGCUCACCAAGGCGACGAUCUAUAGCUGGUCUGAGAGGAUGAUCAGCCACACUGGGACUGAGACACGGCCCAGACUCCUACGGGAGGCAGCAGUGGGGAAUAUUGCACAAUGGGCGCAAGCCUGAUGCAGCCAUGCCGCGUGUGUGAAGAAGGC